rnacentral:lncRNA from 1 species
UGAGCUUGAAAGAAGACAAUACUGCACUUACUGGGAGAGCUGCUGGGUUGGAUUUGGAUGUACGCUACCAAUCCGACCAGCUUCAAGAGCUCAUCUUCUUCGGACCGACAGUAUUUCCUGCUCUACCUCCGGACUACAUCACGGAUAUUAUGGCGUGGGUAGAGCAGCAUCCUGAGGAGGUCGAGAAGAAUAAGGAAGUUCUCGACAAGAUGAAGGACGAAGCCGCGC